rnacentral:rRNA from 1 species
ACGGGAGGCAGCAGUGGGGAAUUUUGCGCAAUGGGCGAAAGCCUGACGCAGCAACGCCGCGUGCGGGAUGACGGCCUUCGGGUUGUAAACCGCUUUCAGCAGGGAAGAAUUUUGACGGUACCUGCACAAGAAGCCCCGGCUAACUACGUGCCAGCAGCCGCGGUAAUACGUAGGGGGCGAGCGUUAUCCGGAUUCAUUGGGCGUAAAGCGCGCGUAGGCGGCCACCUAAGCGGAAUCUCUAAUCUCGGGGCUCAACCCCGCAGCCGGAUUCCGAACUGGGCGGCUCGAGUGUGGUAGAGGAAAGUGGAAUUCCCGGUGUAGCGGUGGAAUGCGUAGAUAUCGGGAAGAACACCGAUAGCGAAGGCAGCUUUCUGGGCCACUACUGACGCUGAGGCGCGAAAGCUAGGGGAGCAAACAGGAUUAGAUACCCUGGUA